GCUUUUGGGAACUUUGAUACCAGAGCGUACGUCAACGGCGCCGCCAUAUUGAGGAGAUCAACUUUCCCAUACCUCUCAUACCGGGAAUUGAGAAAAAUGCCUGUUUUGUGCGCUGCUUGUGGCUGUAAAAAUCGCCACACAACUGAAAACAGCUUUCGAGGAAGUACCUUUCACAAGCAAGACUGAACGUUUGUUUUUGGUUGUAUUUGGUCAUGAUUUAAUUAAUAGAGCCUAUUUAAAAAUUUGAUCUGAAGUUUUCGGAGUUGCUGCGCCCCCGCCCAGCACUCGUCUCCCCCGCCUGGAACAGCCGUACCACGGCCAGUGCUUCUGACGGUUGCCGCUGGCUCGGAUGUCUCUAGUCAAGAGGUUAAACAUGAGAUAUAAUUCGUAUAAUUUGUGUUUAUCUUUGGUCUCAUUAAUCUAUUAAUGGUUCCCUGGUAAAUAGUUUUGGCUGAAGGCAAAGUAAAGUUUCAUAACUUUAUAUUUAGGCUAUUUUAACAGUAUGUUUGACUGAAGCUACUGCUGUUAUAAUGGCUAGCCUAUUACUGAUCAAUAAAACUGAAAUU